CACGUAGGGGGCGAGCGUUGUCCGGAUUUAUUGGGCGUAAAGGGCUCGUAGGCGGCUCAGUAAGUCGGGUGUGAAACCUCCAGGCUCAACCUGGAGACGCCACUCGAUACUGCUGUGGCUAGAGUCCGGUAGGGGAGCAUGGAAUUCCUGGUGUAGCGGUGAAAUGCGCAGAUAUCAGGAGGAACACCAGUGGCGAAGGCGGUGCUCUGGGCCGGAACUGACGCUGAGACGCGAAGGCGUGGGGAGCGAACGGG
rnacentral:rRNA from 1 species